rnacentral:rRNA from 1 species
AGAGUUUGAUUAUGGCUCAGGAUGAACGCUGGCGGCGUGCUUAACACAUGCAAGUCGAACGGGGUUAUCAUUUUUGAAGCGAUUAGCUUGCUAAGAGUGGAAAAGUUGAUAACUUAGUGGCGGACGGGUGAGUAACGCGUGGGUAACCUGCCUUACACAGGGGGAUAACACUUAGAAAUAGGUGCUAAUACCGCAUAAGCGCACAGUCCCGCAUGGGACAGAGUGAAAAACAUUAGUGGUGUAAGAUGGACCCGCGUCUGAUUAGCUGGUUGGCGGGGUAACGGCCCACCAAGGCGACGAUCAGUAGCCGGCCUGAGAGGGUGGACGGCCACAUUGGGACUGAGACACGGCCCAAACUCCUACGGGAGGCAGCAGUGGGGGAUAUUGGACAAUGGGGGAAACCCUGAUCCAGCGACGCCGCGUGAGUGAAGAAGUAUUUCGGUAUGUAAAGCUCUAUCAGCAGGGAAGAAAGAAAUGACGGUACCUGAGUAAGAAGCCCCGGCUAACUACGUGCCAGCAGCCGCGGUAAUACGUAGGGGGCAAGCGUUAUCCGGAAUUACUGGGUGUAAAGGGAGCGUAAACGGUAAUGCAAGUCUGG